rnacentral:rRNA from 1 species
GACGAACGCUGGCGGCGUGCCUAAUACAUGCAAGUUGAGCGCUGAAGGUUGGUACUUGUACCAACUGGAUGAGCAGCGAACGGGUGAGUAACGCGUGGGGAAUCUGCCUUUGAGCGGGGGACAACAUUUGGAAACGAAUGCUAAUACCGCAUAAAAACUUUAAACACAAGUUUUAAGUUUGAAAGAUGCAGUUGCAUCACUCAAAGAUGAUCCCGCGUUGUAUUAGCUAGUUGGUGAGGUAAAGGCUCACCAAGGCGAUGAUACAUAGCCGACCUGAGAGGGUGAUCGGCCACAUUGGGACUGAGACACGGCCCAAACUCCUACGGGAGGCAGCAGUAGGGAAUCUUCGGCAAUGGACGAAAGUCUGACCGAGCAACGCCGCGUGAGUGAAGAGGGUUUUCGGAUCGUAAAAAUCUGUUGGUAGAGAAGAACGUUGGUGAGAGUGGAAAGCUCAUCAAGUGACGGUAACUACCCAGAAAGGGACGGCUAACUACGUG